rnacentral:rRNA from 1 species
ACUCUAAGCGGUGGAUCACUCGGCUCAUGGGUCGAUGAAGAACGCAGCAAACUGUGCGUCAUCGUGUGAACUGCAGGACACAUGAACAUCGACAUUUUGAACGCAUAUCGCAGUCCAUGCUGUUAUGUACUUUAAUUAAUUUUAUAGUGCUGCUUGGACUACAUAUGGUUGAGGGUUGUAAGACUAUGCUAAUUAAGUUGCUUAUAAAUUUUUAUAAGCAUAUGGUAUAUUAUUGGAUAAAUAUAAUAAUUUUUAUUCAUAAUAUUAAAAAAUAAAUGAAAAACAUUAUCUCACAUUUGAAUGUGAAAAACGAAGAGAAAUAUUUUCUUUUUCAAUCAAAUAAUACUGAGAAAUGUCUAGCAUAAAAAAUUGAAAUAUUUUUCAUCUAGAAUUGUCUCUUAUUAAUGAUUCGGAAAUAGAAAAAUCUUGGUUAUGUUAUUAUUCUUCGUUGGUUCGUUAAAAAUGGAUAAAUAAAAACUUUGCAUACAAGAAUUAAUAAAAAUGUUAUAACGAAUUUAAUUAAAUGUUUUAUCAUUAUAUAUAAAGAAUUUAUGGCAAGAUAAAGUUAUAUACAACCUCAACUCAUAUGGGACUACCCCCUGAAUUUAAGCAUAUUAAUUAGGGGAGGAAAAGAAACUAACAAGGAUUUUCUUAGUAGCGGCGAGCGAAAAGAAAACAGUUCAGCACUAAGUCACUUUGUCUAUAUGGCAAAUGUGAGAUGCAGUGUAUGGAGCGUCAAUAUUCUAGUAUGAGAAAUUAACGAUUUAAGUCCUUCUUAAAUGAGGCCAUUUACCCAUAGAGGGUGCCAGGCCCGUAUAACGUUAAUGAUUACUAGAUGAUGUUUCCAAAGAGUCGUGUUGCUUGAUAGUGCAGCACUAAGUGGGUGGUAAACUCCAUCUAAAACUAAAUAUAACCAUGAGACCGAUAGUAAACAAGUACCGUGAGGGAAAGUUGAAAAGAACUCUGAAUAGAGAGUUAAACAGUACGUGAAACUGCUUAGAGGUUAAGCCCGAUGAACCUGAAUAUCCGUUAUGGAAAAUUCAUCAUUAAAAUUGUAAUAUUUAAAUAAUAUUAUGAGAAUAGUGUGCAUUUUUUCCAUAUAAGGACAUUGUAAUCUAUUAGCAUAUACCAAAUUUAUCAUAAAAUAUAACUUAUAGUUUAUUCCAAUUAAAUUGCUUGCAUUUUAACACAGAAUAAAUGUUAUUAAUUUGAUAAAGUGCUGAUAGAUUUAUAUGAUUACAGUGCGUUAAUUUUUCGGAAUUAUAUAAUGGCAUAAUUAUCAUUGAUUUUUGUGUUUAUUAUAUGCACUUGUAUGAUUAACAAUGCGAAAGAUUCAGGAUACCUUCGGGACCCGUCUUGAAACACGGACCAAGGAGUCUAACAUAUGUGCAAGUUAUUGGGAUAUAAACCUAAUAGCGUAAUUAACUUGACUAAUAAUGGGAUUAGUUUUUUAGCUAUUUAUAGCUAAUUAACACAAUCCCGGGGCGUUCUAUAUAGUUAUGUAUAAUGUAUAUUUAUAUUAUUUAUGCCUCUAACUGGAACGUACCUUGAGCAUAUAUGCUGUGACCCGAAAGAUGGUGAACUAUACUUGAUCAGGUUGAAGUCAGGGGAAACCCUGAUGGAAGACCGAAACAGUUCUGACGUGCAAAUCGAUUGUCAGAAUUGAGUAUAGGGGCGAAAGACCAAUCGAACCAUCUAGUAGCUGGUUCCUUCCGAAGUUUCCCUCAGGAUAGCUGGUGCAUUUUAAUAUUAUAUAAAAUAAUCUUAUCUGGUAAAGCGAAUGAUUAGAGGCCUUAGGGUCGAAACGAUCUUAACCUAUUCUCAAACUUUAAAUGGGUAAGAACCUUAACUUUCUUGAUAUGAAGUUCAAGGUUAUGAUAUAAUGUGCCCAGUGGGCCACUUUUGGUAAGCAGAACUGGCGCUGUGGGAUGAACCAAACGUAAUGUUACGGUGCCCAAAUUAACAACUCAUGCAGAUACCAUGAAAGGCGUUGGUUGCUUAAAACAGCAGGACGGUGAUCAUGGAAGUCGAAAUCCGCUAAGGAGUGUGUAACAACUCACCUGCCGAAGCAACUAGCCCUUAAAAUGGAUGGCGCUUAAGUUGUAUACCUAUACAUUACCGCUAAAGUAGAUGAUUUAUAUUACUUGUGAUAUAAAUUUUGAAACUUUAGUGAGUAGGAAGGUACAAUGGUAUGCGUAGAAGUGUUUGGCGUAAGCCUGCAUGGAGCUGCCAUUGGUACAGAUCUUGGUGGUAGUAGCAAAUAAUCGAAUGAGACCUUGGAGGACUGAAGUGGAGAAGGGUUUCGUGUGAACAGUGGUUGAUCACGAGUUAGUCGGUCCUAAGUUCAAGGCGAAAGCCGAAAAUUUUCAAGUAAAACAAAAAUGCCUAACUAUAUAAACAAAGCGAAUUAUAAUACACUUGAAUAAUUUUGAACGAAAGGGAAUACGGUUCCAAUUCCGUAACCUGUUGAGUAUCCGUUUGUUAUUAAAUAUGGGCCUCGUGCUCAUCCUGGCAACAGGAACGACCAUAAAGAAGCCGUCGAGAGAUAUCGGAAGAGUUUUCUUUUCUGUUUUAUAGCCGUACUACCAUGGAAGUCUUUCGCAGAGAGAUAUGGUAGAUGGGCUAGAAGAGCAUGACAUAUACUGUUGUGUCGAUAUUUUCUCCUCGGACCUUGAAAAUUUAUGGUGGGGACACGCAAACUUCUCAACAGGCCGUACCAAUAUCCGCAGCUGGUCUCCAAGGUGAAGAGUCUCUAGUCGAUAGAAUAAUGUAGGUAAGGGAAGUCGGCAAAUUAGAUCCGUAACUUCGGGAUAAGGAUUGGCUCUGAAGAUUGAGAUAGUCGGGCUUGAUUGGGAAACAAUAACAUGGUUUAUGUGCUCGUUCUGGGUAAAUAGAGUUUCUAGCAUUUAUGUUAGUUACUUGUUCCCCGGAUAGUUUAGUUACGUAGCCAAUUGUGGAACUUUCUUGCUAAAAUUUUUAAGAAUACUAUUUGGGUUAAACCAAUUAGUUCUUAUUAAUUAUAACGAUUAUCAAUUAACAAUCAAUUCAGAACUGGCACGGACUUGGGGAAUCCGACUGUCUAAUUAAAACAAAGCAUUGUGAUGGCCCUAGCGGGUGUUGACACAAUGUGAUUUCUGCCCAGUGCUCUGAAUGUCAAAGUGAAGAAAUUCAAGUAAGCGCGGGUCAACGGCGGGAGUAACUAUGACUCUCUUAAGGUAGCCAAAUGCCUCGUCAUCUAAUUAGUGACGCGCAUGAAUGGAUUAACGAGAUUCCUACUGUCCCUAUCUACUAUCUAGCGAAACCACAGCCAAGGGAACGGGCUUGGAAUAAUUAGCGGGGAAAGAAGACCCUUUUGAGCUUGACUCUAAUCUGGCAGUGUAAGGAGACAUAAGAGGUGUAGAAUAAGUGGGAGAUAUUAGACCUCGGUUUGGUAUCGUCAAUGAAAUACCACUACUCUUAUUGUUUCCUUACUUACUUGAUUAAAUGGAACGUGUAUCAUUUCCUAGCCAUUAUACGGAUAUAUUUAUUAUAUCUUAUGGUAUUGGGUUUUGAUGCAAGCUUCUUGAUCAAAGUAUCACGAGUUUGUUAUAUAAUCGCAAACAAAUUCUUUAAUAAAACGAUGCAUUUAUGU